rnacentral:rRNA from 1 species
GGACCUAAGGCGAGGCCGACAGGCGUAGUCGAUGGACAACGGGUUGAUAUUCCCGUACUGACGAAGAACCGCCCAAACUAAUCCAGUAGUGCUAAGAGUCCUAAUCCGGCUGACGGAUCCCUUCGGGGUGAAGCUGCCGGCCUAACGCUCGACCCCAUGCUGGUGCGGUUAGCGUAUUAACAGGUGUGACGCAGGAAGGUAGUCGGUCCAGAGCGAUGGUUGUCUCUGGCCAAGGCUGUAGGCCGGGGGAUAGGCAAAUCCGUCCCCCACACGGCUGAGAGCUGAAGGGGAGUCCGUCAAGGACAAGAUCCGAUAAUCCUAAGCUGCCGAGAAAAGCAUCGACGCGAGGUUCUAGUCACCCGUACCCUAAACCGACUCAGGUGGUCAGGUAGAGAAUACCAAGGAGAUCGAGAGAAUCGUGGUUAAGGAACUCGGCAAAAUGCCCCCGUAACUUCGGGAGAAGGGGGGCCUAAGGCGUCAAGGGAUUUACUCCCGGAAGCGCUGCAGGGCCGCAGAGACCAGUGGGAAGCGACUGUUUACUAAAAACACAGGUCCGUGCGAAGUCGCAAGACGAUGUAUACGGACUGACGCCUGCCCGGUGCUGGAAGGUUAAGAGGAACGGUUAGCCGUAAGGCGAAGCUGUGAAUUUAAGCCCCAGUAAACGGCGGUGGUAACUAUAACCAUCCUAAGGUAGCGAAAUUCCUUGUCGGGUAAGUUCCGACCUGCACGAAUGGCGUAACGACUUCCCAACUGUCUCAACCGCGAACUCGGCGAAAUUGCAUUACGAGUAAAGAUGCUCGUUACGCGCAGCAGGACGGAAAGACCCCGUGACCUUUACUAUAGUUUGGUAUUGGUGUUCGGUGUGGCUUGUGUAGGAUAGGUGGGAGACUGUGAAGUGGGCACGCCAGUGUUCAUGGAGUCGUUGUUGAAAUACCACUCUGAUCGUAUUGGACUUCUAACCUCGGACCCUGAUGGGGUUCAGGGACAGUGCCUGGUGGGUAGUUUAACUGGGGCGGUUGCCUCCUAAAAAGUAACGGAGGCGCCCAAAGGUUCCCUCAGCCUGGUUGGCAAUCAGGUGUUGAGUGUAAGUGCACAAGGGAGCUUGACUGUGAGAC